rnacentral:lncRNA from 1 species
AAUAGUUUAAAAUCUUUAAUAAAAAUAAAUAACUUAACAGACCUUUGGAGAUAUUCAAAUAAAAAUAAACAACAAUAUACUUGGCGAAGAAAAGAUAAAUCUCAGGCAAGUAGGAUUGAUAUGAUUCUGAUAGGUUCAGAUUUCAUACCACUAGUAGAAUGUUGUAAAAUUAAACCUGCAGUUAUUGAUUCUACGGAUCAUCAAAGUGUUUUUAUGAAGUUUAGAACUGGUGCAUCAGAAAAGGGAAGGGGGUACUGGAAAAUAAAUAAUUCUAUAUUAGAAGAUAAUGACUACAUACAAUUAGUUAAUAAAGAAAUGGAAAGCUGCUUUAUGGGUAAUCGUAAUUUAAAAAACCUUGGUUUAGCAUGGGAUAUAUUUAAAAUAAAGGUAAGGGAGGCAACUAUAGCUUAUUGUAAAUCUAAAGCAAAAUUUACAAGAGAAAACUUACGAACUCUUGAAAAAAAAUUAGAAAUAAAAUUGAAAAUUAGAGAUGAACAAGAAUCUGAGAAUAACGUUUUAGAUAAAGAUAUUGAAGAACUUGAAAAUAAUAUUGCCAAAAUUUAUGAACAAAAGCUAAAGGUGCUCAAAUAAGAUCACGAGAGAAAUGGGUUGAAUUUGGGGAAAAAAUAACUCGUACUUUUUAGGUUUAGAAAAACAGAGACAGGUAAAAAAGUCAAUCAAUAAAUUAAAAGGGGAAAAUGGUGAGAUUUUAACGGAUCAAAGUGAUAUACUUUGUAGUAUUAGAGAAUACUAUAAAAAGUUAUACUCGACGCAAAGCCCUGAUAAAACAUCAAGCGACA